rnacentral:rRNA from 1 species
AUUGAACGCUGGCGGCAUGCCUUACACAUGCAAGUCGAACGAGUGGCGGACGGGUGAGUAAUGUCUGGGAACCUGCUCGAUGGGGGGGGAUAACUGCUGGCGACGGUAGUUAAUACUGCAUACCAUCCGGUGUGCCCAGAUGGGAUUAGCUAGUGGGGGGGGUAACGUCUCACCUAGGCGACGAUCCCUAGCUGGUCUGAGAGGAUGACCAGCCACACUGGAACGGAGACACGGUCCAGACUCCUACGGGAGGCAGCAGUGGGGAAUUUUGCACAAUGGGGGAAAGCCUGAUGCAGCCAUGCCGCGUGUGUGAUGAAGGCCUUCGGGUUGUAAAGUACUUUCGGCGGGGAGGCGUUACCCGCAGAAGAAGCACCGGCUAACUCCGUGCCAGCAGCCGCGGUAAUAC